CCUACGGGCGGCAGCAGUGGGGAAUAUUGGACAAUGGGGGGAACCCUGAACCAGCCAUGCCGCGUGUGUGAAGAAGGCCCUCGGGUUGUAAAGCACUUUCAGUGAGGAAGAACGCCUGGUGGUUAAUACCCAUCAGGAAAGACAUCACUCACAGAAGAAGCACCGGCUAACUCCGUGCCAGCAGCCGCGGUAAUACGGAGGGUGCGAGCGUUAAUCGGAAUUACUGGGCGUAAAGCGCGCGUAGGUGGCUUGAUAAGCCGGUUGUGAAAGCCCCGGGCUCAACCUGGGAACGGCAUCCGGAACUGUCAAGCUAGAGUGCAGGAGAGGAAGGUAGAAUUCCCGGUGUAGCGGUGAAAUGCGUAGAGAUCGGGAGGAAUACCAGUGGCGAAGGCGGCCUUCUGGACUGACACUGACACUGAGGUGCGAAAGCGUGGGUAGCAAACAGGAUUAGAUACCCUUGUAGUC
rnacentral:rRNA from 1 species